rnacentral:rRNA from 1 species
GAUGAACGCUGGCGGCGUGCCUAAUACAUGCAAGUCGAGCGAACAGACGAGGAGCUUGCUCCUCUGACGUUAGCGGCGGACGGGUGAGUAACACGUGGAUAACCUACCUAUAAGACUGGGAUAACUUCGGGAAACCGGAGCUAAUACCGGAUAAUAUAUUGAACCGCAUGGUUCAAUAGUGAAAGACGGUUUUGCUGGCACUUAUAGAUGGAUUCGCGCCGCAUUAAGUAGUUGGUAAGGUAACGGCUUACCAAGGCAACAAUGCGUAGCCGACCCUAGAGGGGGAACCGCCACACUGGGACUGAGACGCGGUCCAGGGUCCGAGGGGAGGCAGAGAUAGGGAAGCUUCCCCAAAGGGCGGAAGCCUGACGGAGGAGCGGAGCCUGGAUGAAGAAGGUCUUCGGGUGGUAAAACGCUGUUAUUGGGGAAAAACAAAUGUGUAAGUAACGAAGCGCGUCUGGAGGGAACCUAAUCAGAAGGCCACGGUGAACUACGU